rnacentral:sRNA from 2 species
AUGUACCACCGGUAUGUGCGUGUUCCUGCGCACCUUCCGCAACCACCAGACGACUACUCGCUACGUCUUGUUAGUC